rnacentral:rRNA from 1 species
AGUGAACGCUGGCGGUAGGCCUAACACAUGCAAGCCGAACGGCAGCACAGUAAGAGCUUGCUCUUACGGGUGGCGAGUGGCGGACGGGUGAGGAAUACAUCGGAAUCUACUUUUUCGUGGGGGAUAACGUGGGGAAACUUACGCUAAUACCGCAUACGACCUACGGGUGAAAGCAGGGGAUCUUCGGACCUUGCGCGAUUGAAUGAGCCGAUGUCGGAUUAGCUAGUUGGCGGGGUAAAGGCCCACCAAGGCGACGAUCCGUAGCUGGUCUGAGAGGAUGAUCAGCCACACUGGAACUGAGACACGGUCCAGACUCCUACGGGAGGCAGCAGUGGGGAAUAUUGGACAAUGGGCGCAAGCCUGAUCCAGCCAUACCGCGUGGGUGAAGAAGGCCUUCGGGUUGUAAAGCCCUUUUGUUGGGAAAGAAAAGCAGCAGGUUAAUACCCCGCUGUUCUGACGGUACCCAAAGAAUAAGCACCGGCUAACUUCGUG